AACCUUGCAAUUUCCAGUGCAAAGAUUUAUAAUUUACCCUGUUGCGUAAGCAAUGAUGAUUCUGAAUCCGUUGUGAAAUAAUCAUUAUGGACCCGGGGGCGGUACCCGGCACCUCCACCAAUAAUACAUACGGGGGUGUUACAGAUUCGACAGAUGACGAAAGACAAA
rnacentral:tmRNA from 1 species